AGGAAGUAAAAGUCGUAACAAGGUUUCCGUAGGUGAACCUGCGGAAGGAUCAUUACCGAGAGUUGCAGGCUUUUGUCUGCCAUCUCUUACCCAUGUCUUUUGCGUACUACACGUUUCCUCGGCAGGUCCGCCUGCCGUUAGGACCACAUUAAACCAUUGGCAGUUGCAGUCAGCGUCUGAAAAACUUAAUAAUUACAACUUUUAACAACGGAUCUCUUGGUUCUGGCAUCGAUGAAGAACGCAGCGAAAUGCGAUAAGUAGUGUGAAUUGCAGAAUUCAGUGAAUCAUCGAAUCUUUGAACGCACAUUGCGCCCCUUGGUAUUCCAUGGGGCAUGCCUGUUCGAGCGUCAUUUGUACCUUCAAGCUCUGCUUGGUGUUGGGUGUUUGUCCCGCCUUUGUGCGCGGACUCGCCUUAAAGCAAUUGGCAGCCGGCGUAUUAGUUUCGGAGCGCAGCACAAAUCGCGCUCUGUGUCUUAUACGGUAGCAUCCAUCAAGA
rnacentral:misc_RNA from 1 species